rnacentral:misc_RNA from 1 species
GAUGAAGAACGCAGCGAAAUGCGAUAAGUAAUGUGAAUUGCAGAAUUCAGUGAAUCAUCGAAUCUUUGAACGCACCUUGCGCCCUUUGGCCAUUCCGAAGGGCAUGCCUGUUUGAGUAUCAUGAACACCUCAACUCUUCAUGGAUUUCCAUGAUGAGCUUGGACUUUGGGGGUCUUGCCGGCCUGUGGUCGGCUCCUCUCAAAUGAAUCAGCUUACCGGUUUUGGUGGGCAUCACAGGUGUGAUAACUAUCUACGCUUGUGGUUUUCCACCAGGGUAACCUUCAGCAGUGGAGGUUCACUGGAGCUUACAAAUGUCUCUCCUCCGUGAGGACAGCCCUUUGAAUGUUUGAUCUCAAAUCAGGUAGGACUACCCGCUGAACUUAAGCAUAUCAAUAAGCGGAGGA